AGAAACUUAGGAUGACCAAAACCGAAGGCCUUCAAAGCCUUAAACAAGAGUUAAACCCUCUUAGUUUCUG
rnacentral:tRNA from 1 species